UACGUAGGGUGCGAGCGUUGUCCGGAAUUAUUGGGCGUAAAGGGCUCGUAGGCGGUCUGUCGCGUCGGUAGUGAAAACUCAGGGCUUAACCCUGAGCCUGCUUCCGAUACGGGCAGACUAGAGGUAUGCAGGGGAGAAUGGAAUUCCUGGUGUAGCGGUGAAAUGCGCAGAUAUCAGGAGGAACACCAAUGGCGAAGGCAGAUCUCUGGGCCGUAACUGGCGCUGAGGAGCGAAAGCAUGGGGAGCGAACAGG
rnacentral:rRNA from 1 species